AACGCGAAGAACCUUACCAAGUCUUGACAUCCCCCUGACCGUUCCUUAAUGGGAACCUUUCUUCGGAACAGGGGAGACAGGUGGUGCAUGGUUGUCGUCAGCUCGUGUCGUGAGAUGUUGGGUUAAGUCCCGCAACGAGCGCGACCCUUAUCCUUAGUAGCCAGCAGGUAAAGCUGGGCACUCUAGGGAGACUGCCAGGGAUAACCUGGAGGAAGGUGGGGAUGACGUCAAAUCAUCAUGCCCCUUAUGACUUGGGCUACACACGUGCUACAAUGGCGUAAACAAAGGGAAGCAACACUGUGAAGGGGAGCAAAUCCCAAAAAUAACGUCUCAGUUCGGAUUGUAGGCUGCAACUCGACUGCAUGAAGCUGGAAUCGCUAGUAAUCGCGAAUCAGAAUGCCGCGGUGAAUACGUUCCCGGGUCUUGUACACACCG
rnacentral:rRNA from 1 species